rnacentral:rRNA from 1 species
CAAACAGGUCAAGCUGUGCACUCUAGACAGACUGCCGUGGACAACACGGAGGAAGGUGGGGAUGACGUCAAAUCAUCAUGCCCCUUAUGAUCUGGGCUACACACGUGCUACAAUGGCCGGUACAACGGGCAGCGAAGGAGCGAUCCGGAGCGAAUCCUAAAAAGCCGGUCCCAGUUCGGAUUGCAGGCUGAAACUCGCCUACAUGAAGUUGGAGUUGCUAGUAAUCGCGAAUCAGAAUGUCGCGGUGAAUGCGUUCCCGGGUCUU